GAGUAACACGUGGGAACGUACCUUUCGGUUCGGAAUAACUCAGGGAAACUUGAACUAAUACCGGAUACGCCCUUCGGGGGAAAGAUUUAUCGCCGAUAGAUCGGCCCGCGUCUGAUUAGCUAGUUGGUGAGGUAAUGGCUCACCAAGGCGACGAUCAGUAGCUGGUCUGAGAGGAUGAUCAGCCACAUUGGGACUGAGACACGGCCCAAACUCCUACGGGAGGCAGCAGUGGGGAAUAUUGGACAAUGGGCGCAAGCCUGAUCCAGCCAUGCCGCGUGAGUGAUGAAGGCCUUAGGGUUGUAAAGCUCUUUUGUCCGGGAAGAUAAUGACUGUACCGGAAGAAUAAGCCCCGGCUAACUUCGUGCCAGCAGCCGCGGUAAUACGAAGGGGGCUAGCGUUGCUCGGAAUCACUGGGCGUAAAGGGCGCGUAGGCGGACUCUUAAGUCGGGGGUGAAAGCCCAGGGCUCAACCCUGGAAUUGCCUUCGAUACUGGGAGUCUUGAGUUCGGAAGAGGUUGGUGGAACUGCGAGUGUAGAGGUGAAAUUCGUAGAUAUUCGCAAGAACACCAGUGGCGAAGGCGGCCAACUGGUCCGAUACUGACGCUGAGGCGCGAAAGCGUGGGGAGCAAACAGGAUUAGAUA
rnacentral:rRNA from 1 species